rnacentral:rRNA from 1 species
UUUUUAUGGAGAGUUUGAUCCUGGCUCAGGAUGAACGCUGGCGGCGUGCCUAAUACAUGCAAGUCGAGCGAACAGACGAGGAGCUUGCUCCUCUGACGUUAGCGGCGGACGGGUGAGUAACACGUGGAUAACCUACCUAUAAGACUGGGAUAACUUCGGGAAACCGGAGCUAAUACCGGAUAAUAUAUUGAACCGCAUGGUUCAAUAGUGAAAGACGGUUUUGCUGUCACUUAUAGAUGGAUCCGCGCCGCAUUAGCUAGUUGGUAAGGUAACGGCUUACCAAGGCAACGAUGCGUAGCCGACCUGAGAGGG